rnacentral:rRNA from 1 species
AUGUCGGUCUUCAAAUUACCCAAGGGGGUUUGCUACUCAAUAACAGAUGAAAUCGCAUGUUUUUGGUGGGGAGAUGGAGAGGAGAAAAAGAAAAUGCACUGUUAUGCAUGGUGGAAAUUAUGUAUCUCAAAGAAGAAGGGUGGCAUGGGGUUUAGGGACCUUCACAGCUUUAAUCUUGCUAUGUUAGCAAAGCAGUGUUGGCGACUUCUCCAAAAUCCCGAUUCUUUAUGUGCACGUAUUCUGAGUGCCAAGUAUUAUCCAAAUGGUGAUAUUCUAAAGGCAGGGCCUAAAAAGGGUUCAUCAUUCACUUGGCAAAGCAUUGUUGCAGGUAUACAGACUUUCAAGCGAGGGUGUAUUUGGCGGAUAGGGUCUGGCUCACAUAUUAACAUAUGGGAUGAUCCCUGGAUUCCUUUUAGUGAGUCAAGAAGGAUCAUCACACCUAAGGGAGGAACCAUUUUGUCUAAGGUUGAAGAACUUAUACAUCCACAUAUGGGUCAGUGGGAUGUGGAGAUCCUUCGGGACAAUUUUUUACCCAUGUAUGUUGCAAGAAUCUUACAAAUUCCUUUACAUGUUGAAGUUGUAGAAGAUUUUGUUGCUUGGCACUUUACAAGGUCUGGUACCUUUUCGGUGCGAUCUGCUUAUCAUGUAGAGUUCAACCACCAGUUUGGCCACUAG